GGCCGCGAUCCCCGCUCGCACGUGGAGGUAGAGUGCAGACGCUCCCCACAGCCAGGGGAGGAUGAAGGACCAGGGUGAGGGGCCGGAAGGGACGUGAGAGGCAGCCGCACACUGUUACCAUUCCAGGCUUGUGUGGGAGAAGACUGUGGUGCGCCUGUGUCUAUCCGCCCGGGCGGCUCCAGCCUCUGGUUAAUAAAAGGACAUGCAGUUUGUUUCCCUUCCCCUUGAGUCUGGAUGGCCUUGAGACUUGCCUUGGCUAACAGAAUGCAGUAAAGUGAUGUCAUUUGACUUUUGGGUCUGGGCCUUAAGAAGCCUUGCAACUUCCAGUUUUACUGUCUUGGGAUCUGGACACCAUUUUUAAGAAGCUUGGACUUCUGGAUGAUGUAAGACCAUAUGGAGAGAGAGAAGCCUAGCCAGCACCCAACCAUUCCAGCCACUUCACCUGAGAGUGAAGUAUUGCAUCUGAGAAGAUCUGAAGUACUUGGGGCAGCAAACAAGGUUUUAGAGGCUGUUUGGGGAAGGCAAAAGCGAGAGGUGAGGGAGGCAGAAGAGGAUUCUGAAGGGAACCAAAAUAUCCAGUGAGGAAUUCAAGAAGUUUUUGCUUUGUGAUGUGUGAAGUCAGUCCCCUCUCUCUUCCCUCCAACAAAAUCUUCAGAAAGUUACUUCUUCUGUUAUCGCACUGUGGAUCUGUUUUGAGGGGCACAUCAAGUGCUAAGUUCUGUUUCAAGGAGGGCUGAGGGUAAGAGCAGAUGCUGUCCAAGGGAGCCUGGCCACUCUAGGAAUACUAAAGAACAAAGGAAAAACUAAGUAAACAAAUGAAUUAAUUAAUUAAUGAAUGAGUGGAUCUUGGAACUCCUGCGAUCCUCCAGUAGCUGAUCAUCAUCCCUGGCAAGGCCUGGAAUCACUUCAGUUCAGUCUCCAGCCAAAUUCUGGAACUGGCCAAUUGGCCCGCUCCAUUUCCUAUCUCUUUUCUAUCCAAACUUUCCUUCUGUUUUCUUUUCCUUCACAUUGUGGGUUUGGGGAUUGAAGUGAUUUCUGUAGCAUGAGCUCUUUGUUUAUUCAUUCUUUAAUUUUCUGAUGUGUAUUGAAUGCUGUGUUGGGUGUGGGGCCAUGUGUGAUGGGGAAUUCUGAGAAAAGAUGGACUUCACAGUCAGCCAGCGAGAUAAGACUGGACUAUUGUAAGAGGCAGGAAGAAGUAGCUGCCACAGAAGAGACAAAAAUAAAAUGCUGUAACUGUUCAAAGAUGGGGUCUCAGGGGGCACAGUGCAGGAUAGAAGGUUGAGAAAGUCUCAUAGAAAUGGUGACAUCUAAGCCAAGCCUUAAAUUAAGGGUGACAUCUGAACAUGAAGAGAGAAGGAUUUGGGGGUUAGAGAUUGGAUGAGGGGGUAAUUCCUGACCUACCCACUCUGCUUUCCACAUUAACAUGCUGCUGACCUGUGUUCAGGCCCUUCUGGAUCCUUCCUCAGUGCUGUCCCGAGCCAGAGGGGAGAUGCAUUGACAUGUUAAUAAAAGAAAACCAGCCUCAGGCUUUUCCACCCACCGCUGAAGAAACCAAGGUUCUUUUUCAACUGUGACCUUUUGGGAACAGCUCGCCCUACCCUGGUCACCCAGUCAGAGAAAGGAAGAGCUAGAGUUGAAAAGAGCAAUAGGAUGGUACUACCAGAGGCCUGGGAUGUGGGAAGGGAAACUGAGGCCCAGAGAAAGAACAUUGACGCUGUAUUCCCUUAGCAGCACUCAAUGAAUAAAUGAAUUAAUAUAGAUGUCUGUUUGUUGCCCCACUUUGACAGUGAGCUCCUCAAGGGCAUGAGCUGAGUCUUACGCGUCUUGGUGUCCCCAGCACAGGACCUAGAACAUUGUAGGUGUGCAGUAUAUGGUAGCUGAACUAGCAUUCUACUGCCCUGGUAGUGAUUCUCAAUGCGUGGUCUCUGGAGCUGUAGUGUCAGCAUAAGCUGGGGACUUGUUGGAAAUACAAACUCUUGGGGCCUCACCCUAGACCUACUGAAUCAGAAACUCUGGGAGCAGAGUCCACAAAUCAGUGUUUUAGCAACUCCCCUGGGAGAUUCUGAUGCAGGUUAUAGCUUGAGAACCAUUGUUGUAGGAUAUUUGAGCCAAAAGACUUGCUCUGGCUUCCUUCAGCACAUCAAGAACUUACGCUUUUUAUAUACAACAGACACAUCUUUAUACUCCCACCCCCUUUGCCAAAAAAAGAGAAAAGAACAGAAAUGCCACAAAUAUAUUACCAGUGACCAGAAAAAUAUAAAUCAGUAGUGGCAAGUUGUUAUCCUUCCUGAAAAAACAUAAACUUUGCCUGUUAAAAAUACAUUCAGUGGGGCCCAGCCUGGUGGCCAAGUGGUUAAAGUUCUGUUUGCUCUCCUUCGGCAGCCCGGGUUAAUGGGUUUGGAUCCCAGGUGCAGACCUACUCUGCUCACCAGCCACGCUAUGGAGGUGUCCUACAUACAAAAAGAUAGAGGAAGAUUGGCACAGAUGUUAGCUCAGAGCUAAUCUUCCUCAAGCAGAAAAAGAGGAGGAUUGACAAUGGAUGUUAGGUCAGGGCAACCUUCCUCAGCAAAAAAUUUAAAAAUAUAUGUAUAUAUUCAAUGAUUUCAAAACAGACUUUUUAUAGAAUAGGAAGAGGGCAAAGAAAAAUGUCAAAAAAAAUUGAGCUGUAGUUUAAUGUGAAACUGCCACUCCUUUCAAACUGCUCAUCCUCCUUGUCAAUCUCAUUGUCAUCCCUGAUAAUUCCUAGGAGCUGCCACCAAUUGAUUCCUUCUGUAGUGGAAGAUCCUGUAAAAUUCAUUAUUUUCUUGAUCACCGACAUUGCUUCAGUACUUAUGGGACAGGCAGAAUUGACGGGAUCUUCUCUCCCUUCUGUAUUUUUGUACUUGGCAGAUAAGAAGAGCAAGGGAGUUUUGCAUAUGUCCACACAAAAUCAAUCCCCAAGUAUAAUCUCGGUCCUCACUAUGUGCUCAGUACUAUGCUGGCUUUGUAGGGGAUAUAGUUGGAUUUUAUUCCUAUCCUCAGGGAACCCCCAAUCUGGUAGGAUGAGUAUAUGCAGAAUGAAUGACUUAGCUUUUGGAUUAGGGCUUUCCAGCUUACAAAGUGUUUUUGCAGAGACAGUUUCAUUCGAUCCUUACAACAGAUCCUGGAAGCAGCACAUAGUGGCUAUAUCAAGGUAAAUCCAAAUCUGAAGCUACAAAAUGACCUGGUGAUAAACUACAAGGAAGGCUCCCUGACUUACAAGCAUUCCUUGGGCGGCUAUAUAGGUGAGUACAGUCUCAGGUAGGCAACAGAGGAUUGUGACUGUAUCUAAGAGAGCAUAAAUCCAACCAGUUAUACAAGAUGUGAUCUGAGAAAAAAUGUGUUCUUUUAACUGACGCCCACUUGAUAGACUAGCCACGUUGGCUGAUGUGCUGUUUUCUCUGUAAGACAUCCCAAUGAAUGCCUACAUCUCACUAAAAGCUUCUGGCUGGCAGUCCAGUCUCUUGUGUGCUUGUCAAUUAUCUCAUAGGCAUUCCUAGUUUCUCCCAAACCUGUUUAUGCCAGUCGUGCUGAUUUGCAAUUAUACAGUUAAGUAAAAUAUUAUGUUAACCAAUGAAAUAAUGAGUGUAAGAAAAUAAUGAGUUCUUGUUUUUAUGAAAAUUAAGUUGGGUGCUGUGAAAAAACUUGACAAAGAUGUUUUUAUUAAAGUAAAGUUGCUAUUGAAUGAUAUGUAAAUGAGACAACUUUGUGAUGAAAAUUGUAAAAUCUAGAAGGAUUCUGCUCUCACAUUGCUUCAUAGGGGUCUUUAUGUUCUUGCUCCACUUUACAGAAAUCUAGACUGGAAAUUGUAGAUGAUGCCUUGCGGGUGGGCUUUAUGAAAGGGAAAUGAGGUAGAUUUUAAGGAAAAGGCCUUAGCCCUAUAUCAAAAGAUUGGCACAUAAAGAUGUGUUUAAAUGUUUCGGAAUAAAUUGUUAAAUGCGUUCUUUUUUAUGAUUUCCUCAUUUUUUCCAAUGAACUCUUUUUCAAUUUACUUUUUUGAAAUAUUCUACUAAGUGUUUCUCAGUUUUGUUAGAUAAGAGGGCUUGCACUGAUCUACAUUGUCAUGGGGCCUAAACAAACAAGUCAAGGGUACAGGAGAGUAAAAUGUUGAUGGUGUUCUCCAGGGCUGUCCAUUGGAGAGAGGAGCAGACUCAAAUUAUUGCUCCUGGGAGCUCCUUCCUAGUGGAGAGUACGGGUGUUUAAGCUCAUCAUAGACUGAUGUCAUGACCAUUGGGAUUAUUCAGCAUUCCCCCUUGUUCUGAUUUCCUCUUCACUGAGAAAUCCUCUGUCUACAAUCUAGCCAUCCAUGUACAUUUCCUCUUAGAAGAGAAUGUGCAGAUGAGAAAAGACUUGAGUCUUGAUUCCUGAAGUUGUUAACAUUUUUCACUGUAAAUAGUGAAUUAUUACGAUAAUGUUUAAUUUGUAGGGGACAAUACCUACUGCCUCUUCUGAUGCUUCUAGUGAAACACACCUUAAAGAGGGUGGAAGUUACCCAACAGUAUUAAUAUAU